AGAGUUUGAUCCUGGCUCAGGAUGAACGCUAGCUACAGGCUUAACACAUGCAAGUCGAGGGGCAUCAGGAAGAAAGCUUGCUUUCUUUGCUGGCGACCGGCGCACGGGUGAGUAACACGUAUCCAACCUGCCCUUUACUCGGGGAUAGCCUUUCGAAAGAAAGAUUAAUACCCGAUAGCAUAAUGAUUCCGCAUGGUUUCAUUAUUAAAGGAUUCCGGUAAAGGAUGGGGAUGCGUUCCAUUAGGUUGUUGGUGAGGUAACGGCUCACCAAGCCUUCGAUGGAUAGGGGUUCUGAGAGGAAGGUCCCCCACAUUGGAACUGAGACACGGUCCAAACUCCUACGGGAGGCAGCAGUGAGGAAUAUUGGUCAAUGGGCGUUAGCCUGAACCAGCCAAGUAGCGUGAAGGAUGAAGGCUCUAUGGGUCGUGAACUUCUUUUAUAUAAGAAUAAAGUGCAGUAUGUAUACUGUUUUGUAUGUAUUAUAUGAAUAAG
rnacentral:rRNA from 1 species